CUCAGGUAAGCAGCACUGGGCUGUAUUGAAGAUGGCAUCUCAGGUAAGCAGCACUGGGCUGUAUUGAAGAUGGCAUCUCAGGUAAGCAGCACUGGGCUGUAUUGAAGAUGGCAUCUCAGGUAAGCAGCACUGGGCUGUAUUGAAGAUGGCAUCUCAGGUAAGCAGCACUGGGCUGUAUUGAAGAUGGCAUCUCAGGUAAGCAGCACUGGGCUGUAUUGAAGAUGGCAUCUCAGGUAAGCAGCACUGGGCUGUAUUGAAGAUGGCAUCUCAGGUAAGCAGCACUGGGCUGUAUUGAAGAUGGCAUCUCAGGUAAGCAGCACUGGGCUGUAUUGAAGAUGGCAUCUCAGGUAAGCAGCACUGGGCUGUAUUGAAGAUGGCAUCUCAGGUAAGCAGCACUGGGCUGUAUUGAAGAUGGCAUCUCAGGUAAGCAGCACUGGGCUGUAUUGAAGAUGGCAUCUCAGGUAAGCAGCACUGGGCUGUAUUGAAGAUGGCAUCUCAGGUAAGCAGCACUGGGCUGUAUUGAAGAUGGCAUCUCAGGUAAGCAGCACUGGGCUGUAUUGAAGAUGGCAUCUCAGGUAAGCAGCACUGGGCUGUAUUGAAGAUGGCAUCUCAGGUAAGCAGCACUGGGCUGUAUUGAAGAUGGCAUCUCAGGUAAGCAGCACUGGGCUGUAUUGAAGAUGGCAUCUCAGGUAAGCAGCACUGGGCUGUAUUGAAGAUGGCAUCUCAGGUAAGCAGCACUGGGCUGUAUUGAAGAUGGCAUCUCAGGUAAGCAGCACUGGGCUGUAUUGAAGAUGGCAUCUCAGGUAAGCAGCACUGGGCUGUAUUGAAGUAUCCUAAAAAUGACAUUUGCUGCUUUAGAUUGAAUGGUCAUAUCUCAGUUAUUGUUUUCAGCUCUAUAACAAAUAAGCUGUUUUCUUUACUUUCAGAGAGCGAGCUGACCAAGGGGUCGAAAAUGUAGAAAUUGCCAGAUGUUCAUUGUCCGAGGAACAGGGCGUGGAAGCUUUAUUGCUGGCAAAAGUGUCCAUAACCAGAGGUAAUUAAACUGUUCUGCGUUAUUUUUCUCAAUCUCUGCCUGUCUUGUUGUACAUGGAACCUGUCUCACAUGCAUUCAUUAAAAAACCCUUAAGAUGUCAGCUGCUAAUUUUCAGAUUUACACCACAUAAACACAGCCAUUUUCACUUUCAUAAAAAAAAAAUAUAUAUAUAUAGGACUUGCAUCCUUGACACAAUAAAGUUAUUAUAUUCUACUCAAUCCAUAAGCUUCAUUAAUGCCAUUCAGACUUGAAGUUGAUACAACAGCUAUGAUAUCUGAGGUUCAUAGACUGGUAUGAAUAUUAGUUCAGAACCUAACGUUUUUGGGUCCAUACACAGAUCGGCUACAUACUGUAGCUAGCCACACAUCCAUACGCAUACAGUUAUUUGUAUCCUCCACUACACAAUAAGCAAGUAAAUAGUUAGCUACCUACAUUGAACAACUUCAGCUGCAUUGCAAGGCAAGCUUACUCAAUUGUACAUUCAAUUUGAAGUAAAUGCUUUAGCUAGCUAAUCAAAUCAAAUCAAAUGUAUUUAUAUAGCCCUUUGUACAUCAGCUGAUAUCUCAAAGUGCUGUACAGAAACCCAGCCUAAAACCCCAAACAGCAAGCAAUGCAGGUGUAGAAGCACGGUGGCUAGGAAAAGCUCCCUAGAAAGGCCAAAACCUAGGAAGAAACCUAGAGAGGAACCAGGCUAUGUGGGGUGGCCAGUCCUCUUCUGGCUGUGCCGGGUGGAGAUUAUAACAGAACAUGGCCAAGAUGUUCAAAUGUUCAUAAAUGAUCAGCAUGGUCGAAUAAUAAUAAGGCAGAACAGUUGAAACUGGAGCAGCAGCACAGUCAGGUGGACUGGGGACAGCAAGGAGUCAUCAUGUCAGGUAGUCCUGGGGCACGGUCCUAGAGCUCAGGUCCUCUAGCUAGCUAGAUUCUUUACAUCCACUGUUUCACAAGAUGACAGCAUGGUUUGCUGAUUUUCUCAAGGGUCCCUAAAACAUUAAACAACAUGAAUUACAAAUGAAUUAUCCUAACACCAGCUAGAUGGUUAAUGCUAACUAGUCAGAUAACUUGCUAAAUAGCGAUUUUCAUAAAUUUACUUUAUGACAAACAAAUAUGCACAAAUGUUUGUCUUUACAUUAACUAACAUAUGCCUCUCAAUUGAUUUUUUUUGCUUGACUCGUUGUGACAUAGCAACUUACAUCUGGUUGCACUGUUAAUGUUUUUUCAGCCAUCUUUAUUGAAGACACAAAGGAAAGGGUAGCUCGCGUCAAAAUUCGUCAUUGGAACCACUCGAUAUGAUUGGUCAUAUAAAAACCUAAAAAAAGACCCAAAUGCAUAAUGAGUGCUCUAGCUCCCAGUUGUGGUGGUCUGGAGCAAUGAAGCCAUAACGCUGGGUACCCCUAAGUCUCGCGGUGGAAGCUCGCAAAUUUUAAAGGAGGGACCACUGUACAUGAUUCCAUAUGGGUUAUUUGAUAGUUUUCGUGUCUGACGGGUCGCUACUGGGACUGGACUAGUUUAUUACUAGCCACCCAUUCCAAAACUGACUGCAACUCUUUGUUUAUGGUUGCAGUGAUUUUACUAGCUGUGGUUGCUGAUGUUUAUACUGUUCAAUCAUCAGCGUACAUAGACACCAGGCUUUGUUUAAAGCUAGUGGUAGAUCAUUAGUAAAAAUAGAGAACAGUAAAGGGCCAAGACAGCUGCCUUGCGGAAUACCACACAUUCCAUGAUUUACAUUACAGAAGCUUCCAUUAAAGAAAACACUAUGUGUUCUAUUAGACAGAUAGCUCUCAACCCAUGAUAUGACAGAGGACGUAAAUCCAUAACACACACAUUUUUCCAUAACAGAUGAUGGUCAAUAAUAUCAAAGGCUUCACUGAAAUCUAACAUUACAGCUCCCACAAUCUUAUUAUUAUCGAUUUCUUUCAGCCAAUCAUCAGUAAUUUGUUUCAGUGUUGAGUGCCCUUCCCUAUAAGCAUAAGCAAGUCUGUUGUUAAUUUGUUCACAGAGAAAUAGCAUUUUUUCCCCCUAAAGAUUGCUAAGAGCAGGCAGUAAGCUGAUUGGUCAGCUGUUAGAACCAGUUAAGGGUGUUUUACCAUUCUUGGGUAGGUCUGAGAACAAACACUUUUCUCCAGGCUCAGAUUAAAGAUUUGACAAUCAGGAGAUCUAGAAUGAAUAGAACAGGCGCUCCUAUAGAAAUUAUUUCCACACACAUAACUAUGUGUAGCUUACUUGGACACCGGGUCCCCACAUUUCCCACUCUCUCACCCUGAAUAGCCUGAAGCCACAGGGCUGUUCUCGCAGGCUGUAUUUGCCUACAUGGGAGCAUUGAGAAACAUAGGUCGGGAUUUUAUGUAUUUUAACCUGGUUACAUGUAGCCUACAUUGAACAACACAGCAGCUUUGCUGCAUGUUCUGUUAUUUCUGUACAUAAAAAAUCUACAAGUUGGCUCUUUUACAAUGGAGGGCAAUAUGAAAGAAUAUUGGUUUUCCCCAAUUUGUGGGCGUGGUCAAUGUGAAUUCCUUUUUAUGAAUAUCGACUCGGAGUAUUCAAGUUAAUGAUGGCAUAGCGGGUGGACUAACGGCCAUUGCGAGUGUACCCAUAGGAGCAAAGCAAGGAGUAAAAUAUGUGCUAAAAUAUGUGCUGUGAUUUGUUGAUUCAACUCAACUCACAUACCAAAAAAUAAAUUCCAUUGCAUGAGCCACAUCAGUUAAUAUCAUUCGAAUAAACAUUCUACAUUACCAGGGGAAUUAUUGUAUCACAAUACCAGGCAACCAUUGCGAGUUUACCAGUCAAAUUGCCUGGGUUAGAGGUUCCAAACCCAUUAUUUUCAUUCAAUUUCUAUGUGUGCUGCUGCUGCAUUGUGGGGGUUAUUUCCUAGGCAACUGAAGACUUGUUGUUCUUGUUUCAUCAAGGAGCAACAAAGUGUCAUCAUGUUGUUAAGAGUCCAUGUUACGGCAGAAACAGACUCAACCGCAAGAAUGCCUGGCUUUCCUGUCUUUAGUCAGCUGUUCGUUCCACAAUUAUUUGAAUUUCUAUCAUUAACGGUUAUGGUGGUUAUUCUCUUCAUCCAUAACUGUCGGUUACGGAGAUACACAGUUUUGUGUCAACACACACACACACACACACACACACACACACACACACACACACACACACACACACACACACACACACACACACACACACACACACACACACACACACACACACACACACACACACACACACACACACACACACACACACACACACACACACACACACACACACACACACAUUCCCAUGCUGCUAGCACAAAGCUGGCACAAAGUUGGCACACUGGAACCAUAAACAGCAUACUGAGCAUCCUCUAUAAUAUCCUUUCUCUUUUCUCUGUUUGGUUUUAAACAGGGGGAAUGCCAACCCCAGCACUUCCAAGGGUGAUUUUUUAACACUCCAAUACAAACGUGACAAUGCAGGGCAAGAGGUGUGGGAAGAUGAGGGAGGGAGCAAGGGAUACAGCCAGGGCUGCGAGCAGUGAAUAGCUGACAUUCCAGUACCUGGCCUAACCUCGGAAGAGUGACCUCGCUGCCUGUGAGGGCUACCUGAACCACGUCCCUUGGCCAACCACCCAUCAGCUGUCAGAGCUGGGCAUGAAACUGAAAAGGCACAGAGAUAGAGAAUCCUCAUUCACAAAGCAAGGAGGGAGGAAUCACUCUGGUGAGAAGGAGGGGUGGGGGGAGAUUGAAACAACAAGCCUGAGUGAUCCAAAACAUUGUUAAUAUUGUAAGCGGACAGACUACAGACUAUGUUGGGAAAUGAGAGAAUGCCGAAAGCCGAAAUACCAUUGUGUACCUCUCAAAGCUGUCAGGGAAAAAUCACUUACAAACAGCAAUGGGAUUGAGGAUGAGAGUAAGUUCAAAAACAUUGUAAAUAUUGUGAGUUAACUAUAGACUACAUGGACAAGGCACUUCUGCAACUGUUACAGUAAGUAAAACUGCCAUAUAUUGUACAGGAGAGUCCGACUCUUUCCUUUGAUCUGCCACACACUAUGGUAUACAGUAUACACACAAACACGUAUGCAUACGCAAUAACACACCCACACACAUUAACAAGCGCGCACACACACACAACCACACAUAAGACAUGCACACACCCACACCAUGCUAAAUUGCUCCCCCUUUGUCCAACUGCACCUCAUACAUGCGCUCACAAACAGCAAUGCUUCAACUCCUCCAACUUUCCCAGCGCAAACUCUCUGGACUGUAACUCAGCCUCAAUGUUAUCUCUUAAGUCUCUCACACACUGCUAAACCAUAGAAACACUCAACUUUGGCUGACAGUAGCAUACUGCUCACUAUCUCUUACACAAUAAUAAUAGCUCUAACUCACAAACACUGUCUUUGCAGCACUUUCUGGGCCAAAUAUAACUAUGUUAUAUUCUUUAUGGAAAACUUGAAUGGCAGUUAGAAUUCUGUGAGCAAACACAUGAGUCUACAGAUGUGGAAUCUUAAUUUGAUCCGGUCCUUCUGCAGCACUUUUCCUGCACCACAGGAAAUGCAAAUGAGCAUCGUAUUGGAUUAACAACAAAUACUCAUCCAUGCAUUAGACUACUAACAUUCAACAUGCCACUAAAGGACCAUUGCAGAAAAAAGUUGGAGAGAGUGAGUUACUGUUGGGGAGAGUGAGUAACUGUACAUGAAGGUCAAUCAUUGACCUUUCAAACUGCGCACUGAUAACUCUCUCUACCGCUCUUCAUCUCAAUCCCUUUUUUCACUUUCACUGCCUCCUAUUUUGAUUGAUGAUCAGUCUAAUUUGCUGUCUGUAUACUUUUAUUUUUCAAUCAAUAACUGUCUAUCUAUUUAACUGUGCAAAGUGAUAUGAUACUAAUGUGAUACUAAAGUGAUAGUAUGCAAACACAAAGUCACACACAUGCAGAGACACACAUAUGUUGUACAUUUAAACCUUAUGUAGCUGCGCAUGACAGGGUAAUUAAACACACACCAAACUGUUAUACACCCCAAACCGUGGGAAGGCAAACCUGUCACACACAGUUCAAUAGAAGUAUUAAGACAUGAAUGCCAGCAUUCAUUCAGGGACAUUCAGAGAAAUCACACACAUCACACACACAUGCCUUAUAUGCUCUAAUACAAACAUGUCCCACACUCCAGCACAUAUGUAGGCACACACACACACACACACACACACACACACACACACACACACACACACACACACACACACACACACACACACACACACACACACACACACACACACACACACACACACACACACAC